UACGAAGGACCCGAGCGUUAUCCGGAUUUAUUGGGUUUAAAGGGUGCGUAGGCGUCCCUAUAAGUUACGGUUGAAAUCUCCUCGCUCAACGAGGAAACUGGCCGUAAAACUGUAGGGAUUGAGUACACUUGAAGCGGGCGGAAUGUGUCAUGUAGCGGUGAAAUGCUUAGAUAUGACACAGAACACCGAUUGCGAAGGCAGCUCGCUAAAUUGUAACUGACGCUGAGGCACGAAAGCGUGGGGAGUCAAACAG
rnacentral:rRNA from 1 species